CAGCGCUUUUCGCUCGGCAGCCUCGUUUUCGAUGCAGGCUUUCCGCGAGACUCAGCUGCCCAAUGAGAAGGCGCCGGGGGUUUAUCGCCUGCACUCGCACUCCCGUGCUCUCUGUUGUAAAAUGGCGGAGGUGAGCUGAGCUGAACCGAACUGGUCCAAGCUACGUUCCUUGGGUAUGUCCUUACAUUCGCUCCUGCUACUGGCCGGGCUGGUUUCCGGGUAGCAACGAAGGCGGGUCUGUGGGAUUCGGGAAACAGGAGGACAAGAGAAAAAUCCGUCGAACCGCAUUCAUUAUGUGAUCUGUGAGAGCUGCUGGGACGAGAGUCCAAAGGGUUUAAGGUUAGGGCACUUGGAGUGUGUGUCCGGGAGGGACUGACCCAGAAGGGGUAGAGAGUGGAACGUCAGAAUGGGAUGCCGGGUGGCUGUGCUUAUAUUCCUAAGCAGCUAGUAAAGUUUCAUAUGCACUGCUUUUAGCCAACUGUGUUGAUGGUUAGGUUAGGUUGGGUUGUAUGGCUGCUAGCGGUUACUAUUCAAAUGCACUUUAGCUAUGAAGACACCGGUUAUUGUGCAGACGCUUGUUCUACGUUAUAAAAUUAUUAAUGCGUUUCUAUAAUGCAUGUUAGGUGAGAUGUAUAGUGGGUUCAGUGAAUAUGCCCAGUUGGCAUCAUGCCGCGUCUCUUUCCACAGACUGUCACUUCAGUCCGGUCUGCAGCUGUGGUUCAGCACCCGCCCGUGUGUCUAAGUUGGCAUCGAUAGCUGCUGAAUUCACACUCUGAGGUCCAUCAGCUGGGGACGGUAGUUUGUGCAAUAUUUCAGUCCUCCUGCGUUAAGUUAAUUUACCGUUGCUUGGAAUUGCCCUCAAUGAUACUGGGCGGUUCUUCCAUUUAAGCAGUUAGCAGGUAUCUGGUCAACUUAUAAUUAGGCAGUUACGAUGUAAUAAUCUUCUGCCCAAUACAGCAUAAAUAACAGUCUAGCUCAUAUGAAAUACAAACCUCGUGGCAAUUGAUAAGCAUUAUUUAUUUGUAUAUUUUCUAGGUUAAUAAUGUAAAUAGUUCCUCUGUUAACCUGCCCUGUCAGCAAGUAAAUAAAAGAUUCUAGAGCCUGAUAAGUACAUGAAUCCAUAUGUGUGGAAGCGUCUACAGUUUCUUCCGCUGUGUUGUAUAUUAUCUUUAAUAUUAUGAUUGCCCUGAGCUCCGCGGGCAAUCGCUGAACACUGAAGGAGAUGGUAAUGUAACUUACCAACGUGCUACAGUUUUUGUUAUUUAACUUCCCCCCUCAUUUUCACAAUAAUGUUGAAAAUCUCUUGUAUUAUUUCUUUUAAUUGAAAUACGUUAUGAAUAAAAAUCUAUACACCUUUUGGUUUAAUAAAGUGGUAUUAUUUUGUCAAUGUAAACAACUUCCGCAUCUGUCAAGAUGUUGAUGUUGAUUUAGUUUUAAAAAACCCUUGCUAUGACACUUGUCACCAAUUAAUCUUUAGCGAACUUGUCUUGUAAUCCUGCGGGUUAAGCGACUUGUAAUUUAUGUGUGCAUGAGCGAACAGUAUAUAGCAUCACUUAUCUUACUGCAAACUUGUUUUUCUGGUUGGGAAAUAUGUUGUAGUACCCUGCAUAUAGAUUAUGUUACUCUAGCUGUAGGCAAGAGUUAUUUCAGCCAUAGCAUGGAACAUCAUGGAGUGGAUACUUUUGUAUUAUAAAAAAACAACCUGGAAUUCAGGUUAUGACCAUGUAUAUUAAAUUCCAAAAUCUUUGUUAUUUCUUCUAGUGAUACCAAACAUCAUUUUCUAAAAAUGUUUGCAUAGACUCUUCAAGCUGUGACUUUUUAAUGCAUCGAUCAGAAGAUCGGGUAUCUUUUGUGAAAUUUACCUUGAAGAUUCCAAACUUCAACCUGACUCUGAUCUCACUCCUUUCACUGAUCUCUUCGGUACUUUUGUGGAGAUUUAUUGAUGUUCUGCUGAGUGGGAAUCACUUUCCAGGAUGGUGCCAUCUACUUGCUUAAAUGAGCAGGCAGUUUUAGCAGUUUUAAUCUUUUUAUAGUCACUAACAUUUUUUGUUUGGUGUUACCUUAAUGUUUGUAAACAAUCAUAAUGUGAUAUAAUUACCAUUAUAUUAGGAAUCAUUGUGAUAUUUAUGGUGUGUGUGUGUAUGGCAUAUAGUCUCACAAUCAUAUGGUAAUCCGUGUGGGUUUCUAAGGGAAUUCUUCACUGUUGCUGUCCACAUUCAUUGCCUCUGCCCUCUUCAUUUGGCAUUUGUCAGCAGACCCAAUGUGCACAUUUUCCCGCCCUCCUGCCUUUCCGCGAGUCGUCCAUCUUCCCAGGACAGAAGUGGACACAUUAACACACCUGCCGAAUAACUGCUUGCUGUAGGAUGAGCCACACAUCAACGGAGACUGGGAAGCCUGCCUCUCGGGGAGAAGCGUGGUCAUUGUACUACACCUGUUGCAUGACACUUUAGGUGCUCAAAAUUCAUGGAUGUUACGGCAAAAAAAAAUUGGUUAAAGUAUGGAUCAGUUUCUUCAGCUCGUUUGUCUAGAAGGUGAAAUGUGCAAUAUGUUGAAACUAUGGGAUAUGACUGUUUUAUCGUGCUGGUCUGUUUUAUUGUUACUAAUUUGUCUAUUCUCUAUUAAAUUUCGUUGCUGUGGAGACAAUAAAGAAUCUGAAUCUGAAUAGUAAUGAAAAUGAUGCAGUUUUCAUGUAGUCUGAAGAGCACUGGGUAUAGGGCUGCACUGGGGUGAGGUAGCAAGUUGUGUCGUUGUUGGGGUUUGGGAUAGCAAGCCCCGUUUUGGAGAUAACUAUACAACUUACUGCCUUGCACAGUAAUGCUUUUCAGCCUCCUUUUCCAGUCAUUCAGUGCUGGACUGUUUCUUCGUUUUCUCAUCACAUUCACUGCUAUUGGGUUUUUUUUUCAUUUGCAAAAUUGCUGUAUGAGCUGCAGGAGCUGUUACGUCUUUUAUGCUUGUACACAUUAUUCCUUGAUGAACUGGCCCAGGAAACAAAUGCUCUGUGGGUCACGAUGGGGUUUUGUUCUGAUGAACCUUUCGUAAGGCGAAAGUAUUGUAAGACGGAAUGGUAUUUUAAUACAGUAACCUAAGCUAACAGUAACCUAAGCUUUUAAACAUGCUUAGAACGCUUACAUUAGCCUACAGUUGGGCAAAAUCAUUAAUACAAAGCCUAUUUUAUAAUAAAGUGUUGAAUAUCUCAUGUAAUUUAUUUUAUAAUGUACUGAAUGUGAAAAACGGAAUGGAACUGGAAUACCCAAAACCCAAAUACCCUAACAUGGACCAUCGUAACCUGGACCAUCGUAACAUUAUCUUCAUGCUUGCAUUUUAGUGGAAAAGCCACCACUUCCAGCCCUGCCUAUCAGCCAGCCCUGGUCUCAUUACUAGUUAGUCAGCUGCUGAACUAGCCGACUGUAGAUCCACUGUGGGUCGAGCCGCAUGCUGGUGAUAUUUGAUGGGGCCGGACGCGAAACCCAGGCAGAAGGAAAAAUGAUUGGUUCAGAGAUAACCAGACCAGAUUGUAGAGGAGGUGGGUCCAACCAGUCUGAUGUUCUACUCUAUUUUAAGGAGGAACCCCGACAACUCCUGGCUUGUCUGUAGCAUGCCACUCUGAAAAAAGACAAUCCAACUCUGCCACUAUA